CCCUUACAUCCCCUCUUCUCCCAGUUCUCUCUCAACCUAUCUCAGAAACCUUAGCUGUCACCUUCAAAUACCACCUAAAAUCGAUCAAAUCCAUGGAUUCCAUAGCCAUUGAUGGCCUGUAUCUACCUCAUGUGACUCCUACACGUUUGAUUACCAUGGUUUCAAGGUCAAACCUUGAAGAAGCCUGGCCUAGACCUUGUUCGAUUCGAAGAUUCCGACCAUCUCCGGCCCUGGUCCGGUGGCUCUUGGUAUUCUGAGCCUGUUUCUGACCUCAUCCGACUUAGAUCGGAUUUUUUCAAGCCUUACUCAUUUUAGGAUUCUUUUCAAAUCCUAACCAUUCGAGGUUUUCUCUGAUUUUCUUAGAUCUGUUGUGUAUUCAUGCUCUAUCUGAGUUUUUGAACGAUUUUCCUAACAUUUCUCUCAAAAAAUUACUUUCAAAAGUUACUUCUUCCCGAUUUAUGUUUUCUGAAAAUUUUCAAAAUGCUUCUCUGACUUUUUUUUACCUGUGUAUAUUGUGCCUACUUUGUUCUUAUGUUUUCCCUUUAUCACAUAUGUUCUUCUUUUAUGUUCCGUUCUUUCUGUGUUUUUAUGCUAUGCUCUCACAUGCCUCUUCACUAUGUUCUGCUAUUCGUCUAAUAUGCUUCGCCUACUGUAUUCUUCUAUCAUGUGCUUAAGUGUUCACUGUUUUCUCCUCUGCUUUACCUAUUUUAAGUUUCUUCUAAAAAAAUCUUCUUAAAGCAUGUUUUUCUUCUACUAUUUCUUCUACUCUCUCUAUGCUUCGAUUCAUUUUCGUCACUCUGUUUGCUUUGAACUUUCUACUGUACUUGUUUGUUUUCUCAUGAGUCUCUGAGUGGGAUCUCUGAGCCUGUUUCAACUACUUGCCUCUACGCCUUUGUAUCUAGUUAGAGGCAGAAAUCCUAGAAUUUGGGGGUUUUGCCAAGGUUUAAUCAUGUGAUUAAACCAGGGUUUAUAAAACCCUUGACUCUUUUAGACCAAGUCCUGAGUCUCCGAACUAGGUUCAAACUACUUUGUUUGCAUACAAUUCUGAUUUCCCUACUCUUUUGUUGAAUGGCAUGACAAUUUCCUUCGUGUUUUAAGCAUUCUUUUAUGCUUUAUAUGUGUAUUGAAUCCUUCUUUAAAAAGUUUUCAAACUUAUGACUGAAUCAGAGUUUUUUAGGGUAAUUGAUUGUUACUGAUUUCCCUUAAAUGAAACCUUUUCUGACCGUGUUCAUUCAUGUAAAAUCUUUGACUUUUGAUUUCUUGGCUUUUAAUUGAUUCUCUUUCCUUAAUUAUACAACUGUGUACUAUCAAAACUUUGUCCUUAAAAAACUUUUAUGCACUUACCCCUGCUAUUUUGCAAAGAGUUUGAUUAAUUUAUUACCAUAUUUAUUUUAUGUCGUUUGAAUCUAAAUCCCUUAAUUAAGGUAAGUUUUGUAUAAUUGAUUAACAAUUAGCUUUCAAAUUAUUUCUCGCCUUGUUUUCGCAUGCUUUCUACACUAUAAAUACACGACUUCUUUUUCACAAACACACUACAACAUACUGAAUACACUUCAUAGCUUCACUUAAUUCUCACAACCUCUUUUAAAAAUUUUCUACACUUUGGCUUUUGCAAGACUUCUGCUUUAAUCUGCUUUCUUUUCUGAAACUGGUAUUUCCUAGUUUUGAUUCUAGCAUCAACUCCAAUGUGUUUACUUACCAGCUCUUAUAUCCAUGCUUACUUUACUGCUUUGUAGAAUUUAGCCUUUAUGGUAAUAUGCUUAUGUCUUGCUAUAUGUUACUGCAAUGGAUCCCAUUCCCCAUAUCCUUUAUGUGUUUGAGCUGUGGUUUAAGACAUGGCAAUAUACAAAGUUAUUGUCCAUUGAUAAAACUGGAUCCAUUGGGUCCUACGCUUUUUAAUUUCUCAUACCCCAUUCCCUUAUGUGUAUUUGAGUUAAGGUAUAGCUUGGCAGCAUCCAAAUUGUUGUCCAGGGCUGAACCUGACCUUCAAUAGGUCCAAACUCUCUAAUUGUUUUAGCUGCCAGGCUGGUCAGGGGUGUGCCAGCAUUCUAGUUGAUGGACAUGACCACCAGCCUGCCUUGGCAUUCCCUGAUUCCCUCUAUUGCACUUACACCUACUCUUAGACUCUAAGUUCUGCCCCCUCCUAUGAGCCUUGCCUUGGCACCUUGAGUUUCAUCUAAACUUGGACAUUUGAGGGCCAGCUUUUCCACACUGCUUUAUUGGCAAUUCUAAAAUGGCAUUUGGGGUGUUAGCACUGCCUGGAGCUCUUGAAGCUCCUUGGAGCUGUGACACAUCCCAAAAUAAGAGAAGGCUUUGGAAAUCUUAUCCUGGAACUUGGUUUAUCUCAUAUUAUUAGACUCCGAGUCUGAAUUAGGCUGAUUAAAUGUAGAUGUAAUCACUGAUGUAAUUUUACUUUUCUGUUUGAUUCAUUUGGUUUGUAAUAAUUUUGUAAUAACCAAUCGGGGUGGAUAGUGAAAAGGGAUAGGUUUGAAUGCAUUCAAAAAGGGUAGAUAUCAUGACUAUAGGGAAAUACUAUUUCUAAAAUUCUGCAGUUUUCAUACAGUUAACCACUGAAGCUCUGUGUCUCAUAUAGACAUCAUGUUCAUAGAUAUUAAUGCAUUUUAUAUAGAUACCAUGUUCGUAGGAUUUGUGCAUUUCAUAUAAAUAUCAUAUUCGUAGAAUUAUCUGUAAUUUCGUACAGGUAUCUUGUUCAUAGUAUUUUAUGCAUUUUCGUAUAGAAAUCAUGUCUAUUGAAUUGCAUAUCAUAUCGAUAAUAUGCCUAUGGGGCUUCUGCAUUCUUGCAUAUGCAUCACUCAUUAGGCAAACUUAUUAUAGGACUUAAAUAAUUGACUGCAUAUAGACAACCUGCCUAUAGGAUUUCUGCAUAAGCAAUAACAAUGUUUAAAAUCAGUAAACGCCUAGAAAACAUGCCUAUAUGAGUUAUCAACUCAAACUUGAAUCGUCCACUCGCUACUAAGUCUAAAAUCAGCAACGUUUUGUUUAACUUAUGACCUUAUUAUCGACAGUGAAAGCAUGCCUAUAGGAGUUAUCAACUAAAGGUAAAUCGUCCACUCACUCCUAAGCCUAACGACAGUGAUAUUUUGUUUAAACACCCAUAGAACUCAUGACCUUAUAAUUGACACUUCUCUUUCUGCGAUCAGUUUACUCUUUUGUCUCUGAAAUCAAUAGAUACCAUGCCUAUAGGUCCAUUUCACACAUAGGCAAAUGGUUAGGUAAUUACUCAAUUGUGUCAGUCUUUGACAACUACAUCUAAGCAGGGCUAAUUUGGACUCCCUAUCUGUAAAUAUGUGGUAAAUCAACUUGCCCUACACCUUAAUUUAAUCCACACCAAAUCAGUACAUGUAAGGCAUGCUAAACUACAUGUUGUUUUCUUGAUUUUGAGGAGGUUUAUUUGAGCCUUUUAACUAUUAUGUGCACCCCAUAAUUGCC
rnacentral:lncRNA from 1 species